GAUGAACGCUGGCGGCGUGCUUAACACAUGCAAGUCGAGCGAUGAAGUUUCCUUCGGGAAACGGAUUAGCGGCGGACGGGUGAGUAACACGUGGGUAACCUGCCUCAUAGAGUGGAAUAGCCUUUCGAGAGGAAGAUUAAUACCGCAUAAUGUUGAAAGAUGGCAUCAUCAUUUAACCAAAGGAGCAAUCCGCUAUGAGAUGGACCCGCGGCGCAUUAGCUAGUUGGUGGGGUAACGGCCUACCAAGGCGACGAUGCGUAGCCGACCUGAGAGGGUGAUCGGCCACAUUGGGACUGAGACACGGCCCAGACUCCUACGGGAGGCAGCAGUGGGGAAUAUUGCACAAUGGGGGAAACCUUGAUGCAGCAACGCCGCGUGAGUGAUGAAGGUUUUCGGAUCGUAAAGCUCUGUCUUUGGGGAAGAUAAUGACGGUACCCAAGGAGGAAGCCACGGCUAACUACGUGCCAGCAGCCGCCGUAA
rnacentral:rRNA from 1 species